GUUUUCCUGCUUAUAUGUGAAUGGAAUCCAGUGUCAUAAAAUGAAAAUGCUGCUAGAACUGUCCACAAAAGUGCCACGAAACUGAAAAGAUUAGGAUAGUGACUCCAAUGUCGUCUUAAAAAAGCUGCCAUCUGCUUCUAGUGAUUCUGAAAUGUUAAUGAGGGAGGCACAUGGUCCUUUGUGUUCAUGUGUUUCUCUUCUCCUGGCAUUGUCUCAUCUUUUUCAAGCUAUGGUACUAUGAGAAGACAAAGAAAACAUCUAAUGCAACAAAAGUUGGAAGCACCUGGUUGAGCUACUGAGGGAUACUGUAAAGACUCCAGAGAUUAGAGCAGAAUUAUUACCUCUGUGACAUGCCAGCAUGUUUGGCAACAUGCAAGCGGUUUCUGAUUCCUGAGAGCAUGAGUCCAACGCAAAUUGUAAACACCGCCCCUUCUCUAUGAUUCUCAUAGACUACAGAUAAAACAGAAGCUCAAUUUGCUGUGCCUGCUGGACUAAUGUAAGGCAGUCAACCACUGCAUGUUUGCUGUCUGCUGCAACUGACAAGAGGUCUCAACUAUAUUAUUAGCCCAGUGCUGCCUAUUCAGAUUUAUAUUUUGCAUAAAAGACAGAAGGAUUUGAAUGGAAGUGCGUGGUCUUUCUCUCAUGGCAACAGUAAGUAUAGUUAUCCUUGGCACUUAGGUCAUUUUAAUAAUGGUAUUUUUUCUGAUUGUUUCCAUGAGUUAUUAGGUCUUUCAUGUUUGAGUGUUAAUUUUAAAUCUCCUCCAAGUCAAACAUCUGGCCAAGAUUGCAACUACUCUGUCCCGCCUGAGAAGAGAGGCAAAGUUCCCUCUCUGCAUAGUGCAAUUACUAGCAUGAGUAGCUUAAGGCUGUGUAAUAUACUACAGUGGUUGGCUUUUAAGACUGCACUGGAAAGUUAGCCAAGAUUGUCACACUGGAACAGUAGAAUAACGAGUGAAUUGGGAAGGGGCUGUGUAGUGACUUGUGCUCUGGGAAGUGCUCCAGGCGGAUUGUCUCCCACCUCUCCAGAAAAGUCUAUAGAAUCAUAGAAUGGCUUGAGUUGGAGGGGACCUUUAAAGGCCACCUGGUCCAACUCCCCUGCACCGAACAGGGAUACCUACACUAGAUCAGGUGCUCAGGUGCUGCCUGACCUUGAGUUUAAAUUUUUGUUCUUUUGCAUUAACAAUAUGUAGUAAAAUAUCCAUAAAACCAUAUCUGUCA
ensembl:lncRNA